UGGGGAAUUUUGGACAAUGGGCGCAAGCCUGAUCCAGCCAUGCCGCGUGCAGGAUGAAGGCCUUCGGGUUGUAAACUGCUUUUGUACGGAACGAAAAGACUCCUUCUAAUAAAGGGGGUCCAUGACGGUACCGUAAGAAUAAGCACCGGCUAACUACGUG
rnacentral:rRNA from 1 species